ACUAGGAGUGGGUGGAGCUAGAAGUGGUAACACAACAACAUCAGACAACACUGCUGGAUAAUGCUGGAGAUCUGAGCUCUCACUCAGAACAAUCAUGCUGCUCUUCUUCUCUGUUUGCAUGGUUGUUUCCAGUCUUGGUGAAAGUGUUGACCCUAUCAGACCAAAUGAAACCACCAUCUCUUCCAGUGAAGGCAGCAGAACCACACUGUCCUGCACAUAUGAUGGAUCACCUUACAGACUCCACUGGUACCAACAAAAACCUGCAUCAAAACCAAAGUUUCUGCUGCUGACUUUUGUGUCCAAUGAUCUUGUCAUUAAGGCUGAAAAACUUGACCCAAGAUUGUCCAUCAAACUUCAAAAAGAGAGUAAUACAGUGGAUCUGGAGAUCUCCUCUGCUACAGUAUCAGACUCUGCACUCUACUACUGUGCUUUGGAGCCCACAGUGACUGGAAACCCAGCUACACUGUACAAAAACAUUUCAUAUGACUGA